rnacentral:rRNA from 1 species
CCUACGGGAGGCAGCAGUGAGGAAUAUUGGUCAAUGGACGAGAGUCUGAACCAGCCAUGUCGCGUGAAGGAUGACUGCCCUAUGGGUUGUAAACUGCUUUUAUGUGGGAAUAAAAUGUUACACGUGUGUGCUUUUGUAUGUACCGUAUGAAUAAGGAUCGGCUAACUCCGUGCCAGCAGCCGCGGUAAUACGGAGGAUCCGAGCGUUAUCCGGAUUUAUUGGGUUUAAAGGGAGCGUAGGUGGAUUGUUAAGUCAGUGGUGAAAUUUUGCGGCUUAACCGUAGAACUGCAGUUGAAACUGGCAGUCUUGAGUGUAGUAGCGGUAGGCGGAAUGUAUGGUGUAGCGGUGAAAUGCUUAGAUAUCACGCAGAACUCCGAUUGCGAAGGCAGCUCAC